rnacentral:rRNA from 1 species
UUCCUUGGAACAGGGCGUCAUAGAGGGUGAGAAUCCCGUCUGCGACUCGGCCGCCAACCCCGUGUGAAACCCCUUCGACGAGUCGAGUUGUUUGGGAAUGCAGCUCAAAAUGGGUGGUAAAUUUCAUCUAAAGCUAAAUACCGGCCAGAGACCGAUAGCGCACAAGUAGAGUGAUCGAAAGAUGAAAAGCACUUUGGAAAGAGAGUUAAACAGUACGUGAAAUUGUUGAAAGGGAAGCGCUGGCGACCAGACCUGUCCCCGGGUGAUCAUCGGCCAUUCGUGGCCGUGCACUCGCCCGGACGCAGGCCAGCAUCGGUUGCGGCGGCGGGACAAAGCGCCCGGGAACGUAGCUCCUCUCGGGGAGCGUUAUAGCCCGGGUGGCCAUGCCGCCCGCCGCGACCGAGGACCGCGCUUCGGCUAGGAUGCUGGCGUAAUGGUCGUCAGCGACCCGUCUUGAAACACGGACCAAGGAGUCUACCAUCUAUGCGAGUGUUUGGGUGUCAAACCCAGGCGCGGAAUGAAAGUGAACGGAGGUGAGACCCCGCAAGGGCGCAUCAUCGACCGAUCCAGAUGUCUUCGGAUGGAUUUGAGUACGAGCAUGGCUGGUGGGACCCGAAAGAUGAUGAACUAUGCCUGAAUAGGGUGAAGCCAGAGGAAACUCUGGUGGAGGCUCGCAGCGGUUCUGACGUGCAAAUCGAUCGUCAAAUUUGGUAUAGGGGCGAAAGACCAAUCGAAUCAU